AUUGAACGCUGGCGGCAUGCUUUACACAUGCAAGUCGAACGGUAACAGGCCGCAAGGUGCUGACGAGUGGCGAACGGGCGAGUAAUGCAUCGGAACGUGCCCAGCCGUGGGGGAUAACUACUCGAAAGAGUAGCUAAUACCGCAAACGAUCCAUGGAUGAAAGGGGUGGACCGAAUUGCUUCUCACGGUUGGAGCGGCCGAUGUCAGAUUAGGUAGUUGGUGGGGUAAAGGCUCACCAAGCCAACGAUCUGGACCUGGACUGAGAGGACGACCAGCCACACUGGAACUGAGACACGGCCCAGACUCCUACGGGAGGCAGCAGUGGGGAAUGUUAGACAAUGGGCGCAAGCCUGAUCCAGCAAUGCCGCGUGCAGGAAGAAGGCCUUCGGGUUGUAAACGGCUUUUGUACGGAACGAAACGGCUCUGGUUAAUACCCGGGGCUAAUGACGGUACCGUAAGAAUAAGCACCGGCUAACUACGUG
rnacentral:rRNA from 1 species